GUCCUUUAGAUUUAAAUUAAAGGUCUAACCUGCCCACUGAAAAAGUUUGAAUGGCCGCAGUAAAUUGACUGUGCAAAGGUAGCAUAAUCAAUAGUUUUUUAAUUAAAAGCUUGUAUGAAUGGUUGGACGAGAUAAAAUCUGUCUUUAAUUAAAAAGUAGAAUUUAAUUUUUAAGUUAAAAAGCUUAAAUUUUAUUAAAAGACGAGAAGACCCUAUAGAUCUUUAUAAUAAAUUAUUUAUUUUCAUUAAGGAUUAUUUAGUUAUUUUAGUUGGUUUAUUAUUUUAUUGGGGUAAUAUUAAGAUUUAAUUAAUUCUUUUUUGUAAAAACAUUUAUUUUUGGUUAAUUGAUCCACUAUUGGUGAUUAUAAGAUUAAGUUACCUUAGGGAUAACAGCGUAAUUUUUUUAGAGAGUUCUUAUCGAUAAAAAAGUUUGCGACCUCGAUGUUGGAUUAAAAGUUAUUCUAGGUGUAGUAGUUUAGAAUUUUGGUCUGUUCGACCAUUGAAUUUUUACA
rnacentral:rRNA from 1 species